rnacentral:rRNA from 1 species
CUACGGGGCGCUGCAGUGAGGAAUUUUGCGCAAUGGGGGAAACCCUGACGCAGCAACGCCGCGUGAGCGAAGAAGGCCUUCGGGUCGUAAAGCUCUGUCAAGUGGGAAAAAAAUUCUUUGAUGAACAGUCAAAGGACUUGAUGGUACCACUGGAGGAAGCACCGGCUAAGUCCGUGCCAGCAGCCGCGGUAAUACGGAGGGUGCAAGCGUUGUGUCGGAAUUACUGGGCGUAAAGAGCGUGUAGGCGGUUUGACAAGUCAGAUGUGAAAGCCCCGGGCUCAACCCGGGAAGUGCAUUUGAAACUGUUGCACUAGAGUAUGGGAGAGGAGAUUGGAAUUCCUGGUGUAGAGGUGAAAUUCGUAGAUAUCAGGAGGAACACCCGUGGCGAAGGCGAUUCUCUGGACCAAUACUGACGCUGAGACGCGAAAGCGUGGGGAGCAAACAGGAUUAGAUACCCGCGUAGUC